GGGCUGCUCCAGCCACCACCCCAGGGGUGUUGCACAGGGCCUGCAAAGAGGGUGGAGAGUGACCAGAGCCAGUCCAGAGCUCCCCAGGCCCCUGUGCAGCUUUGGCCUUGUCCACUGACAUCUGGCAGCCAAGGCCUUACCCGACCCCCUUGCAGUGCCCAGUUCUCUAAGGGAGAGGGGAAUCCCAGCACACCAUGGAAAUUUUCUGAUCUUUGCUCCCUUCUAGAUUGGGAUCGUGAUAUGGCUUAUAUGGAAAAGCUAGUGCAUAACAGUUGGAAGACUCCAAAGCAUGGUGGAGCAAUGGAGCAAAAGUCCAUGCAGAUGGCGCCAUAUCAUACUGGAAGCAAUGGCUCUGUGUCAGAUUCUGAUGGAGGAAAGGAGGAGUUGCCAGACAUGAGCAAAGGCAUAGGAGAUGCAGCCGGCACCACAACACGUAUUCCCAAUGCCCAGGAUGGCCUCGGAAGGGGUUUCUAUCAGGAAACAGGCUACUGGCUAGCAAUACUGGCAUUUCUGCUUUGUUUGGAGCUUGUCUUCGUGUUGUGCUUGUUUGGAAUCCGGUAUUUGGAAUCGGGAAGAGAAAACAAUGCUCCUGUGCAUCGUCAGCAGAUGAGCCUAAGAACACAGGCAGCGGGAGGUUGACAGUUUAUCCCAGCUCUCCACUUCUGCCCCUAUCUGCCCUGCCAUGGCUGCAGCAGCGUCAGGAGGCCGUCCCAAAACCCACCCCUCCACAACAAGACCCUCUGCCCCUCAGCCUCCUGGUCCUGUUCCCCGGCCAGGAAUGAAGGUGGGCAUCCCCUGUCUGCCAGGGCAGGGCUUGGCCCAUAUUUCAUAUUCAAAUAAAAGAAUAAAGUUUUCACAA